rnacentral:pre_miRNA from 1 species
GGUGAGAGGCGAGCCGGGGGGGUCGAGUGGGCCUCGCACUUUACGCGCACACGCCCCUCUCGCGCACCACACACCAC